rnacentral:rRNA from 1 species
GAUGAACGCUGGCGGCGCGCCUAACACAUGCAAGUCGAACGAUUAAAGCACCUUCGGGUGUGUAUAAAGUGGCGAACGGCUGAGUAACACGUGGGCAACCUGCCCCUUUCAUUGGGAUAGCCACGGGAAACCGUGGAUAAUACCGAAUACUUCGAGACUUCCGCAUGGAAGACUCGAGAAAGCUCCGGCGGAGAGGGAUG